AGCAUGUUUUUUAGGUUAAGGACAAGCACUGCUUUGGUAUAAGGCUGCCUGGAUAUUCAGGUUUCCUCUGGCCACAGCAAUCCAAGGCAAAGGCUGCUGUAUGCCCUGGCCAGGGAUCUCCAUACCCUAACAAGAAUUGCAUGAGGAAUUCUGAGUGAACUGUGCUGUGCACAAUGCCUCCAGGUAUCAGUGUUUCUCAAGAUUACCAGAGCUAAAAUAAAAAUAAACUUCUUUUAGCACUUU
rnacentral:lncRNA from 1 species